rnacentral:rRNA from 1 species
CUGUUCAGUACACGUGGACAACCUACCCUCAGGAGGGGGAUAACCCCGGGAAACUGGGGAUAAUACCCCAUAGACCAGUGAUGCUGGAAUGCCUCCUGGUUCAAAGGUCCGCCGCCUGAGGAUGGGUCUGCGGCCGAUUAGGUUGUUGUUGGGGUAACGGCCCAACAAGCCUUUGAUCGGUACGGGUAGUGAGAGCAAGAGCCCGGAGAUGGAUUCUGAGACACGAAUCCAGGCCCUACGGGGCGCAGCAGGCGCGAAAACUUUACAAUGCGAGAAAUCGUGAUAAGGGAACCCCGAGUGCCCGUAAAUUCGGGCUGUCCGCCAGUGCAAAUAGCUGGUGAAGAAAGGGCCG